AACCAGGAAGGAGAAAAGGGGGAAACCCCUUAUCAUCACAAAUUCACCAAAUUGAAGCCCUAAAUGUGAUCCUAAGUUCGUGCAUGUCUUAAUAUUGGAUCAUCUACGCAUUAUUAAACACAAGGAAUAAAAGAAGAAAGCUCAAAUCAAUUCGGGUCGCAAGCGAAGGACGGCAAAGGUAAAGCAACUUGAUGACGGCGCUACUUGGGUUGAACACACUUGUGAUGCACGCUUCCGCGAAGAUAUUAGUUUGGGUUAAAACUUUUGUUAAAUGUGCUUUUUGACUAAAACGGGUCUUUUUGUAAGUAACGUAACUUGGUCGUUGUAAGUUGUCGAAUUUGUAGUUGAAGACUAUGUAGUCGUUUACGAAAUGUUGGCUUGUAGCUAUUUUGUAACUCCUCGUUAGUUAUGUCAUGGUUAAAAAUAGAAUUUUUACUUGUUAAUUA